rnacentral:rRNA from 1 species
UUAGUGGCGGACGGGUGAGUAACGCGUGAAUAACCUGCCCUGUACCGGGGGACGAACAGUUGGAAACGGCUGCUAAUACCGCAUAAGCGCACGGUUCCGCAUGGAACAGUGUGAAAAACUCCGGUGGUACAGGAUGGAUUCGCGUCUGAUUAGCCAGUUGGUGGGGUAACGGCCUACCAAAGCAACGAUCAGUAGCCGGCCUGAGAGGGUGAACGGCCACAUUGGGACUGAGACACGGCCCAAACUCCUACGGGAGGCAGCAUG